GACGAACGCUUGCGGCGUGCCUAAGAAAUGCAAGUCGAGCGGGGUCAUCCCGAGCAAUCGGGAGAAGCCUAGCGGCGAACGGUCGAGUAACACGUAAGCAACUUGCCCCGAAGACCGGGAUAGCCCGCCGAAAGGCGGAUUAAUACCGGGUGUGGUCCCGACAGGGCAUCCUGACGGGAUUAAAACCCGCAAGGGGCUUCGGGAUGGGCUUGCGGCCUAUCAGCUUGUUGGUGGGGUAGCGGCUCACCAAGGCGACGACGGGUAGCUGGUCUGAGAGGAUGGUCAGCCGGACUGGGACUGAGACACGGCCCAGACUCCUACGGGGGGCAGCAAUUAGGAAUUUUGCGCAAUGGGCGAAAGCCUGACGCAGCGACGCCGCGUGGCCGAUGAAGUCCUUCGGGAUGUAAAGGUCUUUUCUGGGGGAAGAACACAAUGACGGUACCUCAGGAAUAAGCCCCGGCUAACUACGUGCCAGCAGCCGCGGUGAUACGUAGGGGGCGAGCGUUGUCCGGAUUUACUGGGCGUAAAGCGCGCGUAGGCGGCCUAUUAAGUCGAGUGUGAAAGGUUGCAGCUCAACUGCAAGAGUGCGCUCGAUACUGGUGGGCUAGAGGCAAGGAGAGGGAAGUGGAAUUCCUGGUGUAGCGGUGAAAUGCGUAGAUAUCAGGAGGAACACCCGUGGCGAAGGCGGCUUCCUGGCCUUGUCCUAACGCUGAGGCGCGAAAGCCAGGGGAGCGAACGGGAUUAGAUACCCCGGUAGUCCUGGCCGUAAACGAUGGACACUAGGUGUUGGAGGUAUCGACCCCUCCAGUGCCGUAGCUAACGCAUUAAGUGUCCCGCCUGGGGAGUACGACCGCAAGGUUGAGACUCAAAGGAAUUGACGGGGGCCCGCACAAGCGGUGGAGCAUGUGGAUUAAUACGUCACUAACCGUAGAACCUUACCAGGGCUUGACAUCCGCUGAAAGCGCCUGAAAGGGAUGCCCUCCCGGCCAAAAGCCGGGACAGCGAGACAGGUGUUGCAUGGCUGUCGUCAGCUCGUGUCGUGAGGUGUUGGGUUUAAGUCCCGCAACGAGCGCAACCCUCAUCCGAUGUUGCCAGCGUUGAGUCGGGCACUCUUCGGAAACUGCCCGUGUAAGCGGGAGGAAGGUGGGGAUGACGUCAAGUCAGCAUGGCCCUUACGCCCUGGGCUUCACACAUGCUACAAUGGCCGCAAACAAAGAGAACCGAUACCGCGAGGUGGAGGAAAUCUCAGAAAUACGGCCUCAGUUCGGAUUGCAGUCUGCAACUCGACUGCAUGAAGCCGGAAUCGCUAGUAACCGCAGGUUAGCGAAACUGCGGU
rnacentral:rRNA from 1 species